AUUGAACGCUGGCGGAAUGCUUUACACAUGCAAGUCGAACGGUAGAGGGGGCAACCCCUCGAGAGUGGCGAACGGGUGAGUAAUAUAUCGGAACGUGCCCAGUCGCGGGGGAUAACGUAGCGAAAGUUACGCUAAUACCGCAUACGAUCUAAGGAUGAAAGCGGGGGAUCGCGAGACCUCGCGCGAUUGGAGCGGCCGAUAUCAGAUUAGGUAGUUGGUGGGGUAAAGGCUCACCAAGCCAACGAUCUGUAGCUGGUCUGAGAGGACGACCAGCCACACUGGAACUGAAACACGGUCCAGACUCCUACGGGAGGCAGCAGUGGGAAAUUUUGGGCAAUGUACGCAAGUCUGAUUCAGCCAUUCCGCGUGCAGGAAGAAGGCCCUCGGGUUGUAAACUGCUUUUGUACGGAACGAAGAGGUCUCUCUUAAUACGGGGGGCUCAUGACGGUACCGUAAGAAUAAGCACCGGCUAACUACGUGCCAGCCGCCGCCGUAA
rnacentral:rRNA from 1 species